UUAUUCACACAGCAUCUAAGCAACAUGUAGAGGAUCAAAGGACUGACAGUGUGUCAUAAAUAUGAGAACAUGUUCUCCUGGGAUUUACAUUAAAGUCAUAAACACUAACUACAACAUUCUUAUUCUUAAGACAUUACAGCUCCAUUAUAUCAGCAUCUUAUUAAACCAGACUGCAUCAUCCAGACUGUUUCAUCAACUACAUCAUAAGAAUUAAUAUUUUGUGAUUGUGCUGUUUUAACAUUAGUAGGAAAUGCCUCAUGUCUUCCGAAAGCCUAAACACUGUCAUGCAAAUCAAACCCCUUCAUAAAUGAUUAGAGGUGUUCUCAGGAGAAGUGAGGAUCUGGGUUCAGGUUCAGAUCAAACCAUGUUCUCUACACUUCUACUCUUGCUGUUAACAGCUACAUCUGGUAUUAAAUGUAUUGAACUGGUUCAGCCUGCAGUCAUGCUGGUUAAGCCUGGAGAAUCAUUUU